AGAACGAACGCUGGCGGCGUGCUUAACACAUGCAAGUCGGAUGCGAACGGCGCUUUCGGGCGUUGAGUAGCAUGGCAGACGGGUGAGGAGCGCGUAUCUGACUGGACUCAGGCUGGGGGAUAGUCCCUCGAAAGGGGGUUGAAUACCGCAUGUGCUCGGUGCUGUGAGGGCAUCGAGGAAAGUUGGCCUCUGCGGGCACGCUGAUGGCCUGAGACAGGGAUGCGUCCUAUUAGCUAGCUGGUGGGGUAAGGGCCUACCAGGGCGACGAUGGGUAGCUGGUCUGAGAGGAUGAUCAGCCACACUGGGACUGCGACACGGCCCAGACUCCUACGGGAGGCAGCAGUGGGGAAUUUUGCGCAAUGGGCGCAAGCCUGACGCAGCAACGCCGCGUGCAUGACGACGCCUUUCGAGGUGUAAAGUGCUGUCGACCGGGACGAAGGGGCGAGGGUGAACAGCUUUCGCGCAUGACGGUACCGGUGGAGGAAGCCCCGGCUAACUCCGUGCCAGCAGCCGCGGUAAGACGGAGGGGGCGAGCGUUGUUCGGAAUUACUGGGCGUAAAGCGCGCGUAGGCGGUGCAGCAAGUGGUGCGUGAAAGCCCUCGGCUUAACCGGGGACGGGCGUGCCAAACUGUUGGACUGGAGUGCCGGAGGGGGAGGCGGAAUUCCUGGUGGAGCGGUGAAAUGCGUAGAGAUCAGGAAGAACGUCGGUGGCGAAGGCGGNCUCCUGGACGGACACUGACGCUGAGGUGCGACAGCGUGGGGAGCGAACGGGAUUAGAUACCCCGGU
rnacentral:rRNA from 1 species